rnacentral:rRNA from 1 species
AGGACGAACGCUGGCGGCGUGCUUAACACAUGCAAGUCGAGCGGAAAGGCCCUUCGGGGUACUCGAGCGGCGAACGGGUGAGUAACACGUGAGCAACCUGCCCUUGGCUCUGGGAUAGCCUCCGGAAACGGGGAUUAAUACCGGAUAUUACACCGGCUGGCAUCGGCUGGUGUGGAAAGAUUUAUCGGCUAAGGAUGGACUCGCGGCCUAUCAGCUUGUUGGUGGGGUAGAAGCCUACCAAGGCGACGACGGGUA